rnacentral:rRNA from 1 species
UGGGGAAUUCUGGACAAUGGACGCGAGUCUGAUCCAGCCAUGCCGCGUGCGGGAAGAAGGCCUUCGGGUUGUAAACCGCUUUUGUCAGGGAAGAAACGAGUUUCUCUAAUACAGAGACUUAAUGACGGUACCUGAAGAAUAAGCACCGGCUAACUACGUGCCAGCAGCCGCGGUAAUACGUAGGGUGCGAGCGUUAAUCGGAAUUACUGGGCGUAAAGCGUGCGCAGGCGGUUAUAUAAGACAGAUGUGAAAUCUCCGGGCUCAACCUGGGAACUGCCUUUGUGACUGCAUAGCUAGAGUACGGUAGAGGGGGAUGGAAUUCCGCGUGUAGCAGUGAAAUGCGUAGAUAUGCGGAGGAACACCGAUGGCGAAGGCAAUCCCCUGGACCUGUACUGACGCUCAUGCACGAAAGCGUGGGGAGCAAACA